rnacentral:rRNA from 1 species
UACGUAGGGUCCGAGCGUUGUCCGGAAUUACUGGGCGUAAAGAGCUCGUAGGUGGUUUGUCGCGUUGUUCGUGAAAACUCACAGCUUAACUGUGAGCUUGCGGUCGAUACGGGCAGGCUAGAGUUCGGUAGGGGAGACUGGAAUUCCUGGUGUAGCGGUGAAAUGCGCAGAUAUCAGGAGGAACACCGGUGGCGAAGGCGCUGCUCUGGGCCGGUACUGACGCUGAGGAGCGAAAGCGUGGGUAGCAAACAGG